UACCUCUAUGAUUUUCGUGUCCGCGAUUUUCGCAAGGCUAUCACGCCAGAUGACGCGUGCGACACUUACUGCCAAAAUGGCGCUUACUGCCAAAAUGCGUGAUUGCUCACGUUUCAUGGCGUGGAUUACACUUACUGCCAAAAUGGCGGCCAAUUCGUGCUCAUAAAAAAUCGCGGACACAAUUUUGGCUGAGUGAGACAUCUGG